AACGAACGCUGGCGGCAGGCCUAACACAUGCAAGUCGAACGAAGUCUUCGGACUUAGUGGCGGACGGGUGAGUAACACGUGGGAACGUGCCUUUAGGUUCGGAAUAACUCAGGGAAACUUGUGCUAAUACCGAAUGUGCCCUUCGGGGGAAAGAUUUAUCGCCUUUAGAGCGGCCUGUGCCUGAUUGGCUAGUUGGUGAGGUAAAGGCUCACCAAGGCGACGAUCACUAGCGGGUCUGAGAGGAUGAUCAGCCACAUUGGGACUGAGACACGGCCCAAACUCCUACGGGAGGCAGCAGUGGGGAAUCUUGCGCAAGGGGAGAAAGCCUGACGCAGCCAUGCCGCGUGAAUGAUGAAGGUCUUAGGAUUGUAAAAUUCUUUCACCGGGGACGAUAAUGACGGUACCCGGAGAAGAAGCCCCGGCUAACUUCGUGCCAGCCGCCGCCGUAAAAC
rnacentral:rRNA from 1 species